UACGUAGGGGGCUAGCGUUGUCCGGAAUCAUUGGGCGUAAAGGAGCGUGUGAGCGGCUUGGUAAGUCCGCUGUGAAAGUCCAGGGCUCAACCCUGGAAAGCCAGUGGAAACUGUCAACCUAGAGUCCGGAAGAGGCGAGUGGAAUUCCUGGUGUAGCGGUGAAAUGCGUAGAUAUCAGGAGGAACACCGGUGGUGUAGACGGCUCUCUGGACCAUAACUGACGCUGAGACACGAAAGCGUGGGGAGCGAACAGG
rnacentral:rRNA from 1 species